UCCUGGCUCAGGAUGAACGCUAGCGACAGGCUUAACACAUGCAAGUCGAGGGGCAGCGGGGGCGAAGCUUGCUUCGCCUGCCGGCGACCGGCGCACGGGUGAGUAACACGUAUGCGACCUGCCCCCCGCAGGGGGAUAACCGGGAGAAAUCCCGACUAAUACCGCGUAACGCCGCUGGGCUGCAUGGCCCGGCGGCCAAAGGAAGCGAUUCCGGCGGGGGAUGGGCAUGCGGCGCAUUAGCUAGUCGGCGGGGUAACGGCCCACCGAGGCGACGAUGCGUAGGGGUUCUGAGAGGAAGGUCCCCCACACUGGUACUGAGACACGGACCAGACUCCUACGGGAGGCAGCAGUGAGGAAUAUUGGUCAAUGGGCGGGAGCCUGAACCAGCCAAGCCGCGUGAGGGAAGACGGUCCUACGGAUUGUAAACCUCUUUUGCCGGGGAGCAACGGGGUCCUUGCGAGGGCCCGAUGAGAGUACCCGGAGAAAAAGCAUCGGCUAACUCCGUGCCAGCAGCCGCGGUAAUACGGAGGAUGCGAGCGUUAUCCGGAUUUAUUGGGUUUAAAGGGUGCGUAGGCGGGCUGUUAAGUCAGCGGUCAAAUGUCGGGGCUCAACCCCGGCCUGCCGUUGAAACUGGCGGCCUCGAGUGGGCGAGAAGUAUGCGGAAUGCGUGGUGUAGCGGUGAAAUGCAUAGAUAUCACGCAGAACUCCGAUUGCGAAGGCAGCAUACCGGCGCCCGACUGACGCUGAGGCACGAAAGCGUGGGUAUCGAACAGGAUUAGAUACCCUGGUAGUCCACGCAGUAAACGAUGAAUGCUAGCUGUCCGGUUCUACGGGACUGGGUGGCACAGCGAAAGCGUUAAGCAUUCCACCUGGGGAGUACGCCGGCAACGGUGAAACUCAAAGGAAUUGACGGGGGCCCGCACAAGCGGAGGAACAUGUGGUUUAAUUCGAUGAUACGCGAGGAACCUUACCCGGGCUCAAACGCCAAAGGACAGCCGUUGAAAGGCGGCCUCCAUCCGGGGUCUUUGGCGAGGUGCUGCAUGGUUGUCGUCAGCUCGUGCCGUGAGGUGUCGGCUUAAGUGCCAUAACGAGCGCAACCCCCAUCGACAGUUGCUAACGGGUAGAGCCGAGGACUCUGUCGAGACUGCCGGCGCAAGCUGCGAGGAAGGCGGGGAUGACGUCAAAUCAGCACGGCCCUUACGUCCGGGGCGACACGCGUGUUACAAUGGCCGGUACAGCGGGAUGCCAGGGCGCGAGCCCGAGCGGAACCCGAAAACCGGUCUCAGUUCGGAUUGGAGUCUGCAACCCGACUCCAUGAAGCUGGAUUCGCUAGUAAUCGCGCAUCAGCCACGGCGCGGUGAAUACGUUCCCGGGCCUUGCACUCACCGCCCGUCA
rnacentral:rRNA from 1 species